rnacentral:lncRNA from 1 species
CUCACACCUGUAAUCCCAGCACUCUGGAAGGCCGAGACGAGUGGAUCACGAGGUCAAGAACUCAAGACCAGCCUGGCCAACAUGGUGAAACCCCGUCUCUACUAAAAAUUUAGCCAGGCGUAGUGGCUGGCACCUGAAAUCCCAGCUACUUGGGAGGCUUAGGCAGAUUCUAAUUUUCCAAUUUAUAUGACAAUGUGUACAUUCCAGUUUUAUUAGUUAUUAAAGACUUCAUAAAUGGUUGUGUAUUUGCUUCACACACUGAGCAUUACAAAGCUUGGAAAAAAUUUUGUCAACUUAAAAAAAAAAAACAGGGAAGCAAUCAAACUCAAAAGUGAUCUUGAAAAUUAAAACUGAACAACAAUUCUGAUGUUUGAGUCAUCAGCCCUUAUGGGACACAAGUCAGACUACAGCA